rnacentral:rRNA from 1 species
GACGAACGCUGGCGGCGUGCUUAACACAUGCAAGUCGAACGGAAAGGCCCUGCUUUUGUGGGGUGCUCGAGUGGCGAACGGGUGAGUAACACGUGAGUAACCUGCCCUUGACUUUGGGAUAACUUCAGGAAACUGGGGCUAAUACCGGAUAGGAGCUCCUGCUGCAUGGUGGGGGUUGGAAAGUUUCGGCGGUUGGGGAUGGACUCGCGGCUUAUCAGCUUGUUGGUGGGGUAGUGGCUUACCAAGGCUUUGACGGGUAGCCGGCCUGAGAGGGUGACCGGCCACAUUGGGACUGAGAUACGGCCCAGACUCCUACGGGAGGCAGCAGUGGGGAAUAUUGCACAAUGGGCGGAAGCCUGAUGCGGCAACGCCGCGUGCGGAAUGACGGCCUUCGGGUUGUAAACCGCUUUCGCCUGUGACGAAGCGUGAGUGACGGUAAUGGGUAAAGAAGCACCGGCUAACUACGUG